AUUGAACGCUGGCGGCAGGCCUAACACAUGCAAGUCGAACGCAGUGGGGACGGGUGAGUAACACGUGGGUAACCUCCCAUCAGAGGGGAUAACACUUGGAAACAGGUGCUAAACCGAUACUGAUGGAUGGACCCGCGGGUCAUUAGCUAGUUGGUGAGGUAACGGCUCACCAAGGCCACGAUGCAUAGCGGAGCGGCGAGGGUGAUCGGCAACACUGGGACUGAGACACGGUCCAGACUCCUACGUGAGGCAGCAGUAGGGAAUCUGCGGCAAUGGACGAAAGUCUGACCGAGCAACGCCGCGUGAGUGAAGAAGGUUGUCGGAUCGUAAAACUCUGUUGUUAGAGAAGCGGUAUCUAACCAGAAAGCCACGGCUAACUACGUGCCAGCCGCCGCGGUAAUAC
rnacentral:rRNA from 1 species